CAGAGCCUGGGAAGCUCCUUUGCUUUCUCCCGUGUGUGGGCAGAGGUGGAUGAAGGCUGGGAAGGCUUUGUCUCCAAUUCCAGACUGAGAAGCUGAGCAGGGGAUGAAGGAGAAGAUGAUGAGGGAUGUGUAAACUACUCUGCAAGAUCAUCCCAGGAAAGGAACUAAAGGAGCCAGAAAUUAGAAGGAACCUCACCUACUGGGAAUGCUCCUGCCUUUCCAAAUCUCCUUCUCUGUGCCAUCCCUGGAAGAAACUUGUGAGUAAAUCUGGUUUUAUGUUUCUUUCUUUCAUUUCUGGAAGGCAGAAGUCUUGGAGAAACGUCUUCCUUUGUUCCUUGAAGGGCUGUGGUAGAGAGCAUGAAUUGUGGUGUGUCCUGAGGCUGGGAGUGCCAGAAGGGGGCACCUUCAGAAGACAGAAAUCACAAAAUCCCGGGUUCCCUCCUGCUGAAUCCAGAGAUGCUGUGUGGGGUGGGACUGUGGGGUUGUUGUUCAACAGGGCUGGUUAACAGCAGUUCAGAUUUCAGGAGAGGCAAGGCAAGAAAUUUCCUGUCCUCAUUGUUUGUUCUCCAGGAUGGAAUUCUGCGAGUGUCAUGCCUAACUUCACAGGUAGCUUGUUUCCUGGAUGUCUUGAAACAGAUGACCUGGAACAGACAGAACCUGGCUUUUUCCUCUUGCAGCUGUGUGGGACAGGAAUAUUCCAUUGUUAUUUGCUGGAAUUCACACCCUUUCUGAAACAGCUCCUUCAGGUCGAUUCUCAGUUUUGAACGGGUUUAGCUUGAUGCUGCCAUUUCCAAAACACUCCCUUCCAGAGAGGGAAUAACUUCAGGAGUGGCAUUCCAUGAGCUAUCAAAACCUCUCCACACACUGUGGCCAAAGACCUGGCGGGAUCUGUGGGAAUUCUCUGGCCUGGUGCUCCUUCUGCAAGAGGAGCCAUGGCAGUGUCAGUCUGUGUUGGUGUCACCUGAGCGUAGUUUCAUUCUCUGAGCUUCUGAGGAACACAAAUCCCUGAUUCAGGUCUCACCCUCAGCACAGCAGGUCCCACGUGCAGCAUCUUCCUGCCCAGCCCAGCUUCUGAUCUUUCUGGAAAAGCAGUUUGUUCCACAGGUGUUUGAGGACAGGUUUUACAGCAGGAUGCUUCUGUCAGGAGUGACCUUUCAGGAAUGCUGCUUGAAGAAAAUCCUGACAAACACCAGUGAGUGGAGAGGUGUGGGUGGUAAAAACCCUCACUGGAAUGGACUGGAGGAACUGGGAGUGGGUUUUGCUAAAUGAUUUAUCCUCCCUUUCACCACUUCCUCCAUAUCUGCCUCUCUUGGACCAUACCUGGUGGCAGGCAUGUCAGACACAGUUAGUUUGAUGUGGGAUUAUUUUAUGUCUAUCCGUCUGAAAACAAUUGUCAUGAAACACCAAAACCUUAGUAUUUCCUAGUGUUUAUUUAAUAUUUUCCUCUUGGCUUCUUGUCCUUAAUGCAGCAACUGAAAUAUCUUAAUGCAGCAAAAAAAUACCUUGCACUUAGCUUGCACUUUCUCCUCCUGCUGACUCCUCUGUUUUAAUUCAAAUCUGGGGGCUUUCUCUAGAAAACAAGUAUGAAUAAAGUACUUAAUGAAAGCUCACAUGGUAGUUUGACUUUUCAGGGUCCAGCACUGCUGUAGUUUAUUUACUUGCCAAGUAAUUGCCAGUUUGAAAUUGCAGCUCUACUCCCAAGUUUUAGGGCAGUCAAAUUAAACAGGAAAGAUCAUCCUCAAGGUCAGACAGGUCUGAGAGACUUUAAUGUCCUUGUUCCUGAUGUGGAGAGGGCACAGACUCAUCCAGGUCAGUGGAGAGUUUGUCUUUCCUUGCUCCAAAGUCUCCAGCCAAGUGUGGGAGAUGUGUGGAGCUCCCUGGUUUUCUGUUUGCUGCCCAGGUGAUGUCAGCCAAGUUACUUUUAGCUGGAGCACAACAAUUAGUCCUAUUUUAUCCCUCCCCAAGUGGUUUAAUUAAAUUUUACAGCUUCAAAACCCAUACUCAACUGCCAGGGAAAUCUAAAUUUCCAUCAGUAAAUGCUCUUAAAACAGCUAAAAAAUACCUGUGCCCUUAAAUUUACUUAGAAUGUGGCAGUGAUGAGGAGAUGGAAGUUUUAAAUGUAGUAAUAGGAUAAUAAGAGAAGGCUGUAUCACCUAUAAACCAUCUUGGAGCAGACCUGAAGAGUGGCCUAGAGGAGGUGGGAAUUCAGAGGUGAGGGAAUUUGGGAGAAGAUCCUAUCUGAGUCUUGACUCAGGUAUGAAGCCUUUGCUUUGUAUGAAGCAUUUAUUGAAACAGACACCAUUUCCACACCUCUGCGUUUUGUCACGAUGCUCUGAAACCUGGCUGGUGGGAGAUACAGGUUUAUUCAGGCAGCUUUAAAUUCCUGUGGUUAUAGAGAAAUACCCUCAGUGUUCAGAUGCUGGGAAUAUCAUGGAAUCACAGAAUGGUCUGGGUUGGAAAGGGACCUUAAACCUCACCUUGUUCUACCCCCUGCCAUGGUCAGGGGCACCUUCCUCUACCCCAGGUUCCUCCAAACCCCAUCCAACCUGGCCUUGAACAUUUCCAGGUCUGAGGAAAUCUGCAGGUAAAGCCAUAAAAGAUGUCACAGAUCAGGCACGUGAGAGUAUCACAAAUUGCUUAAUGCUACUGGUGUGACCAGAUAUGAAAUAUUGAUUUUCAGCUCUUUUAUGGCUGGAUGAUAUCUCUUAGCAUUGCAAAUGUACACUCUUUAAUCAGUGGAUUUCCACUCAGCUUUCCCGUGGUGAUCUGCCCAAAAAGGUCCAGACUAAGAGGUGCUUUUUGAACCAAAAAAGUUAAGGAGGUACCAAACCUUCACAAUAACCUGGAUGUGCUCCCUGUUUUAACCAAACCAGCAAAAUCAUAACGUGUUACCUGGGAGAUGUGGUGUUUUCUUUCCUGUUCUCUUCUCCUUUUAGGAGCUCCAUGCUGUGUUUCCACAGCCUCAGAAGGGGGGAAUGGUGAUGGGGAGAGGAGCCUGCUUUCCAGGCUAAAUCCUCCCUGACAUAAAUCUGUUCCAUUGGCACUGCAUUUUAUCAGGUCAGUGCAGCAGGCAAAGCACAAGGAGUGACAGCAAAGCAGGUAAGAGAUCCCCACUGGUUGUGUGCCCAAAUAUUACAACCAAAUGUCUACGUCAGCUGUGUGCUCUUUUUCAGGGAGGAGGAGGACAUCAGGAAGUCUCCUAAUCCUUGCUGCCUUGCCAAAUGAUGGAAAUGUGAAAGCUGCCAGAAAGAACAGGGAUGAAAAGUGUACAUUUCUAAUCAAUCUGGGAAAUUUUACAAAGAUAUCACCACAACACAUACUUACAG